rnacentral:rRNA from 1 species
AUUGAACGCUGGCGGCAGGCCUAACACAUGCAAGUCGAGCGGAUGAAGGGAGCUUGCUCCUGGAUUCAGCGGCGGACGGGUGAGUAAUGCCUAGGAAUCUGCCUGGUAGUGGGGGAUAACGUCCGGAAACGGGCGCUAAUACCGCAUACGUCCUGAGCGAGAAAGUGGGGGAUCUUCGGACCUCACGCUAUCAGAUGAGCCUAGGUCGGAUUAGCUAGUUGGUGGGGUAAAGGCCUACCAAGGCGACGAUCCGUAACUGGUCUGAGAGGAUGAUCAGUCACACUGGAACUGAGACACGGUCCAGACUCCGACGGGAGGCAGCAGUGGGGAAUAUUGGACAAUGGGCGAAAGCCUGAUCCAGCCAUGCCGCGUGUGUGAAGAAGGUCUUCGGAUUGUAAAGCACUUUAAGUUGGGAGGAAGGGCAGUAAGUUAAUACCUUGCUGUUUUGACGUUACCAACAGAAUAAGCACCGGCUAACUUCGUG